UUGGGGACAGUUCAAUGGUAGAGCAUGUGGUUUUCAUGCAGAAGGUCCCAGGUUCAAUCCCUGGCAUCUCCAAG